rnacentral:lncRNA from 1 species
UUUAAAAAGAAAGGAAGAGGCGUUUUUAAAAGACACGGCGACGCGCCCGGUUAAACGUUUUCGGAUAGGAUUCGCCAAUUUUGCCUAGGACCUCCAUUGGGCUCGUGCGCGCGUGGGCUACUUACUUUCUUUGCUUCACCAAGUUAAAAAGUUGAAUACUACAUAAAGACCUUUUGAGUUUUAUCUCUUUCCAAUGUGGGACUAAAGAAAGUACACUAGACAAAAGGCAAAAGACAAAGAAGGGCAGACUUGGAAUUUUGAAAUAUUCCAACAAAGCAAAGAUAGGCUUCUUUUUUAUCUGUGCUAUAAAUCACCAUCAUUGAUGGCCUACAUCAAAGGAUAGAAUGUAUAAAUAAAAAUCAAUGGCUAUUUUCAAAAACAAGCUAGAUAGAGGUGGCAUUUUACUCCACCCCAUUGGGAGUAAAAAUCAACUUGACCCAACUCCAACAGGGUAGAUUUUAUCCGACCUAUUUAGGGUCGGCGGUGAGUACACUUUUCAUCUAAAAUCUACAGCUGGUCUAGGAUAGGUGCAGAUAAUGGCAAUGCCAACCCCUAUUUGCACCUUAUCUCAACAAUUAGAUGGAGGCUACAAAUAGGUGCCACAUGGACAAGGCUAAGGAAUCAAGACAGAUGGAAGUCACAUGAUCUUUGUUAGAUCUAACAAGACUUGGCCAUGACAAACUAGUGCUCACGACAAGUGUAGAAAUGCAGGCUGAAGGAAUAGAAUUUGAUCAUGACUAUCCNNNNNNNNNNNNNNNNNNNNNNNNNNNNNNNNNNNNNNNNAUUUUAGUAUGAGAUUUGGCUCUCAAUUAUGUUGUACACGAAGUACAUGGAGUUGUGGGCAUAAACUUUUGGAACUACUGAGGAUCAUGGUGAGCUAACAUGGACGGUUACAAGAGCUUAGUAGUUACUCAACAAUUCUAGUUAUAUGAGUAAAUCAUAGAUUGUAAUCUAAACUAGAAAUUAUUUCAUCGAUCAAUGAAACAAUUUAUCUUUAUCUUUAUCUUUAUCUUUAAAUUCUUGCUAUCAAUUUUCCAAUAGGACUCUAAGUUAUUGGUAGAAGUAGUAGUACAAUACUUCAAUCAUAGCCUUGGCUACAUUCUAUCUUUUCUUCUUCUAAAUAGAUGGUAUAAUAGUAACGAAAGUCUUUGAAGGUCAAGGCAUCUGACCUAUACUACCCACCAUCAUCCUAGCAUUAUCCCUUUUCUGGCUAAUCUAACAUUGGUCGCAUGCUUGUACAUCUACCUCAACUUAAGUCAUGGGUCUUGUCACCCUCCAUCAAUUAGCAAGCUUUCUGGCACAUCUAUCUUUCGAUCACCCUGGCCAAACGGGAAAAAGAGAAGCAAACAAUGAUUGUGAUGAUAAUGGAGAAAGUAUUGUGACAAAUCAUGAGAAAGAUUAAUCACGUGAAAAGCUACAAGAGAUAUGCUUAGUCGUUUAUUUUUUAGUUAAUUGCUUUUCUUGGUUUACGAGAUAUUUAUUUUUCCAAAGAAUAAUAUUUCUAUUUAUUAUUUUCGUUAUUGUUGAAAAUUUGGUUUGUUAUAUUCUAUGUCUUCAUCUUUGUUCUUUGUUUAUUGUUAUAUGAAGUACUGAGAUUAUUUUUAUAUUAUUUUUUAUAUAUUUUAUUUGUAUGCAAAAAUAAUUUUAGUAACUUUACAUGCCUUGACCCAUCACAACCCAUCCUAUCUAACUCCAUUCACCCUGUGCUAAUAUAUGGGUAAUGGCCUAUCCGACUCAUAUCCACCCUAUUGCUAUCCCUAAAAAGAGAGAGUUAGAUAGCUUAAUAAGUUAUAAUAUUAGGUCACUCAAUGAGUGCCAUGACAAACUAGGCUUAAAUAUUUCAACCAAGCAGUUUUAGAGCUCAAAUUGAAUGAGUGGAGGGACUUAGAUUUGGAUGAAAUUUUGAGGGGUGGAAGGAGUGUCAAGGUAGGUGUCGGCUAGUUUUGGGCCAGGUUUCAUCCAUGUUCAACCAGAAUUUAGAGCCAGACAAACAAGGCUCACAAAUAAGCCAAAAAAUAUAGAAAAAUAAUGAAAAAUGUAGAAAAUAUUGCUUGACACUUGUUUGCCGGGAGGAAAAAAUGAUGCAUGGAUGGAAGGUAAGAGGUUUGUAAUGACCAAACUAGCAUUUGGGUAAGUACGAGCUAGACUCUACUUAAAGAUGUUUUGAAGCUUAAUAAUAUCCAAGAAGCUAAUAAAGGAUCUAAAGGGCGAUGC